UGGGGAAUCUUGGACAAUGGGCGCAAGCCUGAUCCAGCGACGCCGCGUGGGCGACGAAGGCCUUCGGGUUGUAAAGCCCUUUUCCCGGGGACGAUGGUGACGGUACCCGGGGAAUAAGCGCCGGCCAACUCCGUGCCAGCAGCCGCGGUAAGACGGAGGGCGCUAGCGUUGUUCGGAAUCACUGGGCGUAAAGGGCGCGCAGGCGGCCCGGCCAGUCGGGUGUGAAAGCCCGGGGCUCAACCCCGGAACGGCACCCGAUACUGCCGGGCUCGAGGCCGGGAGAGGGUGGUGGAAUACCCAGUGUAGAGGUGAAAUUCGUAGAUAUUGGGUGGAACACCGGUGGCGAAGGCGGCCACCUGGCCCGGUCCUGACGCUGAGGCGCGAAAGCGUGGGGAGCAAACAGG
rnacentral:rRNA from 1 species